UAAAGGUUCACAGCAUGAGGAAGGUUGAGAACCACUGCUCUGAGGUCUGAUUUUUCCAACAGCCUAGUCUCCCGUGUCAAGCCAUUUUGAGGUGCUAUGGGCCUUUAGCAGAGAAGCUCCUCAGGAUGUGGACAUACAGAAUUUGGCCUUUGACUCACAAUGAAACAUUAAUACAAGUCAUAAUAAUUUCAUAUAAGUGAUGGUUUUAUUUUUAAAAGAAGGCAUUUAGAUAGUAAGAUUACAUAGAGCUGCUAAAAUGUCACAGAAAUAAACAACAACUAUGUGAGAAACUUGCAGAGAUGACACAUCUGUAGCAGUUUGGGCAGUAAAAGUCAGCAGUUUGGAUUCCCUCUUUUUAAGUGAGGUGGACACUGGGCUUAUCUACUAGUCACCUGCCUCGGGUGAAUCAGACCAUCCAGUGUAUUUUGGUUCAGGCCCAUUCCCUGACACUGUGCAAGUAUAGCUAGUCAGCAAGAGUUUUCUUUUUUCAGUUUAACUUGUAUUUUACCAGAGAAAAUCCAAUUUUCCAUCCCUUUCAAAGAUUAAAACUGAUAUUGUAGGAUAGUAAACCUCUUUAGUCUGACCCAGUCUCCUACUCACAUGUGGGUUAGUGCUCAUAAUAAAGGCCACUGCUUAGGUUUGUUUUAACAGGCACACAGAACAGCUCAGCCAAGGUGAUUCUGAAGUGGUGUCCAAAUAUAUCGGAUUUCUGAAUGCCCACUCAGAACAUCAAAUCAGGAGCAGCCUUGAGAGAAGAAGGAUUUGACAGCUUCAUCUCAUCCACACAGAAGUGAAUAUCACACUGUCCAGAAUGAGAAACCUCAGCAUAACUUGAAAAACUGCUAGAAAUGCAGGCUCUUGGGAGCUACUCCAGACCUGCUGGAUCAGAAAUGCAGAAAUGAAGCCCUGCAGUGUGUUUUAAUAAAGCUUACAGGAUGAGAUGGCCAACCUAAGAAAUAUCAACCUCAGAGGAAAACAAGAAGAAGAAGGAAGAGGAGGAGGAGAAAAAGAAGGAGGAA